rnacentral:rRNA from 1 species
GAUGAACGCUGGCGGCGUGCCUAAUACAUGCAAGUCGAGCGAACAGACGAGGAGCUUGCUCCUUUGACGUUAGCGGCGGACGGGUGAGUAACACGUGGAUAACCUACCUAUAAGACUGGGAUAACUUCGGGAAACCGGAGCUAAUACCGGAUAACAUGUUGAACCGCAUGGUUCAACAGUGAAAGACGGUCUUGCUGUCACUUAUAGAUGGAUCCGCGCCGCAUUAGCUAGUUGGUAAGGUAACGGCUUACCAAGGCAACGAUGCGUAGCCGACCUGAGAGGGUGAUCGGCCACACUGGAACUGAGACACGGUCCAGACUCCUACGGGAGGCAGCAGUAGGGAAUCUUCCGCAAUGGGCGAAAGCCUGACAGAGCAACGCCGCGUGAGUGAAGAAGGUCUUCGGAUCGUAAAACUCUGUUAUUAGGGAAGAACAAAUGUGUAAGUAACUAUGCACGUCUUGACGGUACCUAAUCAGAAAGCCACGGCUAACUACGUG